rnacentral:rRNA from 1 species
UGAGGAAUAUUGGUCAAUGGGCGCAAGCCUGAACCAGCCAUCCCGCGUGAAGGAAGAAUGCGCUAUGCGUUGUAAACUUCUUUUCCGGAGGAAUAAAAUCUUGUACGUGUACAGGACUGAAGGUACUCCGGGAAUAAGCAUCGGCUAACUCCGUGCCAGCAGCCGCGGUAAUACGGAGGAUGCGAGCGUUAUCCGGAUUUAUUGGGUUUAAAGGGUGCGUAGGCGGAUUAAUAAGUCAGUGGUGAAAACCUUCAGCUUAACUGGAGACUUGCCAUUGAUACUGUUAGUCUUGAGUGUGGUUAAGGUAGGCGGAAUGUGUAAUGUAGCGGUGAAAUGCUUAGAUAUUACACAGAACACCGAUCGCGAAGGCAGCUCACUAAAUUGUAACUGACGCUCAUGCACGAAAGCGUGGGGAUCAAACA